rnacentral:rRNA from 1 species
GAUGAACGCUGGCGGCGUGCUUAACACAUGCAAGUCGAACGAAGCACCUUGAUUUCUUCGGAAUGAUUGGUGACUGAGUGGCGGACGGGUGAGUAACGCGUGGGUAACCUGCCUCACACAGGGGGAUAACAGUUAGAAAUGACUGCUAAUACCGCAUAAGAACACAGUACCGCAUGGUACAGUGAUAAAAACUCCGGUGGUGUGAGAUGGACCCGCGUCUGAUUAGCUAGUUGGUGAGGUAACGGCUCACCAAGGCGACGAUCAGUAGCCGACCUGAGAGGGUGACCGCCACAUUGGGACUGAGACACGGCCCAAACUCCUACGGGAGGCAGCAGUGGGGAAUAUUGCACAAUGGGCGAAAGCCUGAUGCAGCGACGCCGCGUGAAGGAUGAAGUAUUUCGGUAUGUAAACUUCUAUCAGCAGGGAAGAAAAUGACGGUACCUGACUAAGAAGCCCCGGCUAACUACGUGCCAGCCGCCGCCGUAAUAC